UUCCUAAUUCCAGUCUCUCCAGCACUUUUGUUUGCUUGUGUAUCAGUCAGACUGGUUGAAUAGUGUUCCACCAAAUUAUAUCCACUUGGAACCUCAGGAUGUGUGCUCAGGUGGAAAUAGUUAGAUGUAAUCAGUUAGGAUCUGGAGAUCGGAGUUUAGAGUCGCUGGGAACCUGGUCCCUGGUUGCUUAUUGCUUCACUGUCAGCUGAAACUUGUUAGUGCCAAAGCCUACCAGUGCCAGACUCAAAUUUGUGCACACUCAGCAAUUUAAAACUAACGUGAACGUGCAGGUUUUUAGCCAUUGAGAGAUUGCCUACUUUUCAGACUGCACAGAACCUGACAGCUGUUACCUAUAGAUAAGACAGGUCCCAAGAUGCAGUGGUCCUUGGCGUUCUCUGAUCCAGAGCCCCCUCACCAGACUGCCGAGUCACCUCACCUAGACACGUAACCCUCUCUGAGCACCCAGGCCCUCCUGGCCACCCCAGGACAGGCUGGUGCUGUGAGGGACGCCCUGGCCUGCAAACCUGUCACGGUGUUGUCUUGUCUAAAUAACCUCACGUGAGCUGCCACCACUGUGUGGCCAUGGCUCCUUCCUGGAUCUGCCCCGAGAUGCCUGGACCCUUCACAGGCACAGACAGAGGUGGGGCCUGGGGUGGCCGGUCUGGCUCCCAGAAGCUGGAGGGAGGAAGGAGCCUCAGCCCAGGCAGCACCUUGGUCUAUUCUGCUGUUGAGUUUUGGCAACAGGGGAACACAGUUCUGUGGUUCUGAGCUGUUCGUAUGUGGUGAUUCAUCCCGCAGCCCAGGGAUACCCACACACACGACCUUGCUCUCCACCCGUGCUGAGUCUCUGAUGUGCCCAGAGUCGUGGGGCUGGCGGCUGGCACGUUUUCACUGUAUUUAUAAGCACAAACAGGCCCCUGUUAGCAGGAAGCCGGGUACCUGUCCUGGGCCACAGAGCCUCGGCGGGGAGGCUGACUUGUCUCCCUCACACCAGAGAGUGCCCCAAACGGAGCAUCCAUGCCUUGAUUCCUUCAGCAGAUGUGCACUGAGUGCCCUGUGCGUGCCCUGCACCAUGCUGGGCGUCAGAAGAGACCCCUGUCCUUUCUGGACAGUAACACGUGUACAAAACACAUCAACCUUGAGGGAGCCUGGAGGGGAGGUGGCCAGCCGACCACAGGGCAGCUGAACAGAGAUACAGAAGGCUGUGCUGGAAGAAACAGGACACACGUGACAGGCGUGGAGGAGAAAUCCACGUCCGGCAUCCCAGGGCCACAUGGCCUCUCCUGUCAGUGCUGUUAUUUACUCAGUGAUGGAUGGCCACCCUCCUUAGCCACUCCGCCAAGCCAAGCGGAAGAGUGCUGUCACGUGUGCUCCGUGUUCAGAAGGGAAGGCAGGAGCUGCCCGGCGGGACAUAACAAUUCGGGGGUUGGGGAAGGACCCCGAGACCAGCAGGCAGGAUCCAUCACUCUGGCUGAUGAAACACUGGGGUGAAUAAUGAGAACCCCGAGGGGGUCAUGCAAGGCCACCUAAGGAAUCAUUACCGAAUUCCUGGCAGUUUAUUUCCUGUCAUGGAUGUUUGCACAGACGGCUCUGGUACAACACCAUCAGGGUGUCAGAUAGUGGGAGUCACACAGGAUGAAGCCUCUUUAGAUCGGCGCCCCUCGCUUAGUCAUACGCUGUCAAGUUUCCUCCGUGUGUUUUCAUGGCUUGUUAGCUCGUUUCUUUUUAUGGCCGAAUACUGUUCCACCGCCUGGAUGGACCAAGUUUGUUUAUCCAGCACCUACUGAAGGACAUCUUCGAUGUCUCCAAGUUUUGGCGAUUGUGAAUAAAACCGCUAUACACAUCUGUGGGCAGGGUUUUGUACCAACACAGCUUUCAACUCAUUUGAGUAAACGUCAAGGGGCACGGUGGCCGGGUCGUGUGGCGAGGAUACGUUUAGUCCUGUAGGAACCCACCAGACCGUCCUCCCGAGUGGCUGCCCCCGUCCGCGUGCCCGCCUGCCGUGCCUGAGAGACGCUGUGGUUCGACGUCCUCGCCAGCAUGUGCUGGUGUCGGGGGCCUGGGUUUGGGCCCUUCUAACAGGCGAGCAGUGUUGUCUCCUUGUCUGAAUUUGCACUUCCAGGUAACUAUUUUUUUUAAAUGUUAAUUUAUUUAUCUUGAGAGAGAGCAUGAGUGGGGAGGGGCAGAGAGAGAGAGGGAGAGAGGGAAUCCCAGGCAGGCUCUGCACUGACAGCAUGGGGCCUGACGUGGAACUCAAACUCACAAGCCGUGGGCUGAAAUCAAGAGUCAGAUGCUUAACCGACUGAACCACCCAGGUGCCCCAGUCACUAAUUUUUGACUGUACAGUUUACUUUUGUGGGCUCUUAGCCGGCUGGGAAACUCUAACCACAGAUCACGUCUUUGUUUUUCUAUUUCUAAAGGACAGGAUACAGAGCAUGGGGUUCAUAGUCUUCUCCAGCUUUUUAUUUUCUCGGCCUCAGAAGAGUUUAUGAAAGUGGUUUUCUAGAGCCAGUAGAUGUGGCUUCUUGUAAGAUGGUUUUGGCCAGGAUCAGAUUUUAUCAGACCCAUAGACCGAGAUUUCCUAGAGGGAAAACAAAAUGGGCAAUAAUUCCAUACAAUGAGGUUCCUUUACUAACGGAUAUUUAGACUGUACUACAUACACUUCCUCCCCUAUAGUAAACAAUGUAGUUUUCACUUGAGGGAAUGAAGUUUUGGGUUGCUUCUGGGAAGUUCAGGACUCUGUACUCACAGGGCGAUCAACAGACACCAUCACUUUGAAGGUACUGAGCAAUGAACUUGAUUAAAAACAAAAUGGCGCCACUGCCUAAAUAGUGUGUGGUUGAUCUCAGCCUCGUCUUGACUAUUCAAUCUUACUUUCACUUAUAGACCCCCCCCCGCCCCCCGCACCCCUGCGCAGCCAUCACUGGGCAUGUGCUGAAGGUGAUCCCUGCGCUGCGUGAGGCAUGAUUAGCAGACCAGGGUUCAUCCCUGGGACAGGGGUUCUGCGAGGCUGGUCAGUUAGACUCUCGGGGGUGGUCAUGGGGGGUGAUAAAUUUAGCUGCAAGAAGCGGUGAUGCUCUUUUGCUUGUUUCUGGCUUAGAUUUAGAAUUUGAGGAGUUUUGUGAAAUGUACCAGGACCAACGCCUGCCAUGCCAACCGCAGGGAUUUCAGUCAGAUUGCACGUUAUUCUUUGUUGCUAAGUGUUGGCAUUCAUGGUUUCGGGUCUGGCAAGGCGGGCUGAAGCCUUCAGUUCCAGGCUCCAGGCAGCCCACGGCCCAGCGGUCAGCCUAGAUUUGGGGCCGUUGGGGGGGGGUUUUGUCUGUGGUGGAGCCCGCCCUCCUCCUGUCUCACAUGGCGCCCUCAGGGCGCUCCCGCUUUGAGUAAGACGUUGCUCUGUCCUUCCACCGCUUCCUUCUGCAGAUUUGGACUUGCUCCUGCCUGUCUGAUUUCAGAUGCUUCGUUCUGCUUGGGAUUUCCAGCUGUGGCUCCUUCUGUCCUCUGCACAGUGGUUUAAUUUCUGUCGGUUUUUGUUCUCGUCUUAACUCCGUGUGUUCCCGUGAUCAGCUUGCACCCUUACUACUCCAUGUUAGCCUGCUUCUUAAUCCUUGCUUCCAGAGAGCCCGCCGUGAUUUCUCGCUGCCUCAUUCAUGCCGCACCUGCUUACUGCGGCUGGCUUGGGGACAAGUAUGAUCCAGGGACGGGGUGCACACAGAGACUAGAAUGACUGCUGGUUUCCAGAGUGCCCCGCGAGGAGACACGUUCCUGGAUGCUAAGACUCCCCACUUCUAUGAGAGUGGCCUCAAUGGGGUGUUGUCUGCAUCAGAUGUUAAACACUUCUGAUAACCUACAGACGCCUAAGAACCAGUGUGGAAAGAAAGGCCUUCUUGUCUGUGUGUAAGGAUCUGCUGCCUAAGUUAAAUUAUGAACCUAGCUGGCAGGUGCCACUGAAGCCCACUGUGUGCCCGGCCUGCUGGGAACAGGGCUAACCUGGUGCUGGGCUGAUGGGACUUCUCCGCCAGGCUGGGGACCCCUCUCCUGGCAGCUCCUGGUGGCCCCUCUUGAUGGACAGGAGGGAGGGGCAGGGCUCUCUCUGGGUCCAGCCCCUGCCCUCCUCAGGAAGUCAGGGAAGUCAGGGAGGAGACACAACUAUAAAGAGGAGAAAGACCUUUUAGUCACUUGAAUUAAAAGGGAUUGAGGUUCAUGGUUGAAUGUUGAACUAUAUGAAUCUGGCUGUAGUUGACUUCUGAGCUCGGUAAUGUCACACACUUGAACCUAAUCCCUUAGACAAGUGCUCUGAAGUAGAUGUGGGUUUUAGUUACUCAGGCGAGGUCUACACCAGUCCUCCAACAGUGUAGACUUGCCGGGAAGGCCUGCAAAGGAAGGCAAGUGCCCUGUGGCGGUGGAGGCUGGACGAAGGGUGACCACGGGCCAAAAGAUCUGCACUAAGUCUGUGCUUUGCCGUUACCCACCCAUGUCCGUGGGCAGGUGUGGCCGCCUGUCCAGUGCCUUCCGUAAAGAGAGGAAGGGGGAGGCUCGAGGGUGGAGAGGGGACAGACCAGACACUGGCCUGGAGCUGCCUGCCACCAGCCUGUCCAGCUCUAACUUGGCUCUGGCCAAGCUCUGGUGUUUCUGGUGUGCAGUUUGGCCUGGGGCCGCCACACGGAGCUGCCUGGGCCAGAGUCCCCGGGGCCUUGGUCAUGAGCACAGUCUGUGCGCAUUGUUGGCAUGCCUCCUUUUGCACGCUGAGACACCAGGCCCGGUGCCCUGGGGCGGCCCUGCAGGGACGGCUGUAUGCCUAUACCUGGCAUUGGGCCAGAGGCACAGGGGCUGCUGGUGGGGGCUGGGCGCACAAGGGCGCCCCGAGGAGCCUCUGUGAUUCGCUCACCCCCAGGUGUCCCUCCAAGGUCCUUGUAGCUCUUCCGUCUGCAGGAAUGUGUGUGAGGCUGGCCCUGCACAAUAGCAGGUGCCCGGCAAGGAUGCAUGCGUGCUCUGAUCCACGCUGGCCCCGCCCUGCCCCGGGGACUGUCCCCUCCCUGCCAAGACGGAAGCCAAGUUAAAUGAAUUUCUUUCUGGAGCCAAUGGGCCGGAUCUUAAGCCUUCCUGAGAACUGAAGUGUAAUUUAAGAAACUGGAAGAAAUUAUUGAGUUGGUGUCCUAAUCCCCCGAGAGUCUCCGUGCGCACUCCACUGAGCAGCCUAAUCCCCGCUGGUGCCUCGACCCCGGUGGAAUCCUUAAUUACCAGAAUCUCAUUUCCGCUUCGUGGGCUACCUGAGUAGCAUCUGUCGCUCAAAUAAACUCAUGUGAAAAUAAAGUAUUAAAAUCAAUAA